rnacentral:rRNA from 1 species
GCCAUGCCGCGUGCAGGAAGACUGCCCUAUGGGUUGUAAACUGCUUUUAUACAGGAAGAAACACACCUACGUGUAGGUGCUUGACGGUACUGUAAGAAUAAGCACCGGCUAACUCCGUGCCAGCAGCCGCGGUAAU